UAGGGAAUCUUCCACAAUGGGCGAAAGCUUGAUGGAGCAACGCCGCGUGUGUGAUGAAGGGUUUCGGCUCGUAAAACACUGUUGUAAGAGAAGAAUGACAUUGAGAGUAACUGUUCAAUGUGUGACGGUAUCUUACCAGAAAGGAACGGCUAAAUACGUGCCAG
rnacentral:rRNA from 1 species